rnacentral:rRNA from 1 species
UACGAAGGGUGCAAGCGUUACUCGGAAUUACUGGGCGUAAAGCGUGCGUAGGCGGUUUGUUAAGUCCGUUGUGAAAGCCCUGGGCUCAACCUGGGAAUUGCAGUGGAUACUGGCGAGCUAGAGUGCGGUAGAGGAUGGUGGAAUUCCCGGUGUAGCGGUGAGAUGCGUAGAGAUCGGGAGGAACACCCGUGGCGAAGGCGGCCAUCUGGACCAGCACUGACGCUGAGGCACGAAAGCGUGGGGAGCAAACAGG